rnacentral:lncRNA from 1 species
CAGAUCCAGAUCCAGAGAGCGGACUCCGUGCCGGACUUUGCGGGUCUCUGUUCAUGUGCAGCGUUGUCUCACACGCUCAGUGAUGCUUCUGCGGCUGCAGACGGAGCGAUACAGGAAGAUACUACAGUGUAGGGGACCUUACCAUCCGACUGACCGGCUGCAUCGUCAAACCCCCGACUGCUGAAACAGCAAGCGAGGCAAAGAAGGCAGUUUCAGCCACCUUCAGGAGGAUUUUAUUCGGCGAGGCGAUUCCCGGAAGGACAGUCCGCUGUGUGACAAGGUGCAGAGAUGUGCCAGCAAAGAGGUCGAGGAAUCUGGAAUUAAACAUAGGAGAGAAAAGAUGCCGAAAAUGAGACAUUGAAGAAGAGCUAGUUUUGGGGCCUGUGCAGACUUCCCGCGGCAGCAGUUGGAUG